AUUCAGUAUAGAAUUUAGAAAUUCCCACAUUGGUGGCCCUACCAUUUUUUUUGUGUGUGUGGUGUCGAUAUUGCAGUCUUGAGUGCGAAACAAUGAAAGUCAAGAUUUUGCUUAUCCUUUUGUGGUUAUUUUACUAAUAUGAAAUGUUAUUUCAUUAGAGCAGAUAAAGAAGUAGUGAAAUAUAGCAAAUGUUACGAAAUGAAUACACGGGACAUGGUUCAUAUUGACCUUACCGAGGACAUAACCUUAGAGUAGAAGAGUUUGAAGGUCGCAUAUAUUACGAUAGUAGAAAGUUAAUAGUUGAGUGUUUUCUUGCUUCCCUGUGAGAUAGGCUACGAGGUUAUUCUUGGACCUCCUGCACUUUAAGUAUAAUUAACACUAUGAUUGUAGUUCCUUGAGCUUCAAUUUUCAACUUUCACCGAUGGCACGCCGUUGCAUCGUGGACGUGGGAUGCUCAUGAUAAAAGUUGUGGUAUAUGCAGGAUGGCUUUUGAUGGUUGUUGUCCUGAUUGUAAACUCCCUUAGUUAUCGAGGUUUACAUAUUUCUACAUUGAUGUUACUCAUGAAGACAAGGAGAUAACUGGACAGCUCCAGAUGUAUCACAAGAUUCAAUUGUAAAGUUGUCUUUACUACAACUCCUAACAAUCUUACGAGCACAAAACAAACUCUUAUAAGAUCAUGACGUUGUCUCUGUUUAGAGACCAUGUGAAAUCAUCACCUUCUUUAUACAAUUUUCCUAUAUUUACGAAAAGUAAAUUAUUUACUUACCCGUGCAUCCUUAACUCACAAGCCCUUGGCCCUGGCCACCCUUUAACCAAGAAGGAGAAAAAGGUAGUCUUUGGUGUCUCUCCAUGCCUCUACAAGGAUGGUAAUGAAGGGGAUGAAACAUGCCCACGCAAACCGAAUUUGGGAGUAACAAAUCCAUCAGAUGCCAUGUUAUACUCAAGUUUCUAUCUGCAGUAGUAAGUUAACCGUAAGGAAGCCUUUUACUUACAGGCAAUACCGGAUGGCAGAAGUACCUUGCAACUAAAGUUGGAAAACACCAGGGACAGGCAAGAUGAUUGCCAAAAGAAUAUCUACACAUGUCAUUUUGAUGUAUCCCAUUUUUCCUUUCUUCUGAUUCUUUCUUAACAGAUUCUGAUUAAAUGUUAAUUAAAGAGCAGAUUUAGGCUUGUCACUGAAUUUUGAAAAUGAGGAAGAAGUGAAUUUUUUAUUUUUUUUUAUAUGGUUAGGUUCAUCAUCUUUCUGUGGAUGGUAUUAACAUGACCUCUCUGGAGUCUGGCACCUUUCUUUAAAUCUAUUAAUGCUUUGAUAAUUUACUUGUCUUUGCAGUAUGGGGUGCUUGCAAUCAUGCAUUUCAUCUUCACUGUAUCUUGAAGUGGGUGAAUUCUCAAUCUACUCAAGCACAUUGUCCCAUGUGUCGUCGUGAAUGGCAGUUUAAAGAAUGAACAAAGAUUAUGUGCAUCUUAUGCUCAUCAAUGGCAGUAGAAGGAAUGAAUUCAAAAUUUUAGUCCACUACUAAGAUUAUCUGUUUUCAUGCUUCUUGAGAGAAGGGGUAAAAAGUGCUUGUUUUCUAUUGUAUAUUUGGUACUAUUACAGUGUCUGUGUGUGAUAAUUUGAUAUUGUAGCAAGCAUAAUUUUGCUCAUCCCCUUGUACCAAAACUAAAGCCUUCAAGGCCAAGAAUAGGUAGUGUAUUUGUAUCAGCCUUGGAGGCAGGUGCAGAUGUUUAUGAUCCAUCCAUCCAAAGUCUUCAACUGAGAUGCAACAACAACAUACUGAGGGUAAAGUGUACGCAGUCCAUACCACUACCUCAGACAAAGUAGAUAGAGAGGCAGUCUUCAACUGGAUGAUAUAUGCUUUAUUAUCUUCUUAAACUCUCAGGUACAUGGCACAUUUUGGCGAGACGUUAUGGCUGAAAUGACUCUCCAUCUAGUUUAUGCACAUCCCAUGCUGCUGCCAGUAUUAACAUUCCUCCAAACAUCAGCAUGACAUGCUAGCUCAUUCAGGAUGACCUUCAUUGUACUUGGAACUAUUUUUCCAGUAAUAGUCUGAUAGUCUUUGGAAGAGAUGUGCUGAACUGAGGAGGUCAAGAUUCAAGGUAGUUGAUGGAUGGAUGCUUCUUAUAUUCUUUCUAUAAUAGCAUCUGAGAUGUGAAAACCAACAAGAAUGGUCUUAUGAGAUCUUCUAAGUUGCCCUCAUGUUGUACAAAUGUGACACUCAUUAAAUUAGUGGUCAUUCAUGGGCGCAAA